CAUGCAAGCUGGGGAGGGGCAGACAGGGAGACAAUGGAUCUGAAGGGGGCUCUGCACUGACAACACAGAGCCUGAUGUGGGGCUCAAACUCGCAAACGGCAAGAUCAUGACCUGAGCCGAAGUCGGAAGCUCAACCACCUGAGCCAUCCAGGCACCCCCGACACAUUCAGAAUUAAAAACAAAAAAAAAAAGUCCGAUGGCUAAGAACGUCCACACGCUCUAGCCCCUGCCUUGACCUCAUGGUCUACAGCACCCCUCCCUCCCUCCACAAGGCCUUUGCACUGGCUGGUACCUUUCCCUGAAACAUUCCUCCCCGGCUGUUUGUGUGGGUGGGAAACAGCCUUUCUCUCUCUGUUUAUGUGUCACCUUGGAGAGCCCUUCCCUGGCUACCCAAUCGAAAACAGCCCAGGCUCCCUGCAUUGCCCUGCCUUCUUUUUCAUCACAAUACCUUUUACCAUUUGCCCUUUCACCGGUUUGUUCUCUGCCUUCCCCAACUUGGUUUGAGGCCUACAGACCAGGGAUCUUCCCCACUGCAUCAAUCAGGGUCCAGUUAAGAAAACAGGAAUUGUGCUAGAUACUUCAAUGGUGAUAAUUCACCGAAAGACAUCAGUUAAAGAUCUAUUAGAAGGAGAGAAAAUGUAAAGGGAGCACUGAGGAGCUAGGGUGGGAUUACGGGAUUCCAGAAGCUCGGAGGAGGAGCCUGCAGAGCUGAGGCCCCGCCCCUCUAGCAAGGCACCGACCAGCUGCUGCCACCGGGACAAAGGGCCAAUGCGAGGGCAAUCCUGAUGGGAUCCAGCUGCCAAACGAGGAUGGGGCGGGUCCCUACUUCCGCCUCCUGCCUUCCGCCUCCCUCUAGUGCCACUGCUGGCAGAAAAAGGAAGCCCCGCGACAAAGGAGAAACGGUUCGUAGGGUCCCCACCCAGUGUCACACAGCAGAGUGUAACAGGUAGAUUUGGAGCUGGGGGGCAAUAGCUCAAUGACCAGAACACCUGUCUUGUACACUCCCUAACCCCCAUGCCAGAGGAGUGUUUGGCUUAUAGCAGGCACUCAACAUUUGUUGAACGGAUGAAUGAAUGAUGGAUGAUGCACCACGUAGGGAAUUAGUAGCUGGGGAUGCAGAUAUGACGGGCAGACUCUGAUCACACUCUAAUAAGAGAGACAGACACCAUUUAUGGUUCAGGAUAAGUGUAAUAGCAGAAACACCCUCAGUGGGCUAGAAGCACAGGGAUGGGGCCCUGCUCACACUGGCCAUCGUGGCGGGGCGGGGGACGACCAUGCUUCAGUUGGAUGCUCGAGAGCAAAGAGGAUUUGUGAGGCACAGAGGGACACUGAGGACCAACGAUGUAAGGAUGCAGGGUGCUUCGGGUCUGGGAACAGCUCGUGCAAAAGCAGAGAGCUUGGCAGGAGUGACUCAAGAAGUUCCCUGUGGCCAGAACAUCCAUGGGAAGUGGUGGUGGCCGAGCCUGGAGCAUUCCAAUCCGGGUCAUGAAGGCCUCGUAUGUUACUCAAAGGAGGUUGGGCUUGGCCUCAAGGCACAGAAGUGCCAGUCAAGGCUCAUGAGCCGUGAGUGACAUAUGUGACCCGAGGAUUGUGAUUUCACAGGCAUGAGAAUGAAGGCUGGAGGCCAGCUGGAGACAGACCUGAGCCACAAGGAUGGGCACCCAUCUAACUGCCCCCAGUGGGUGCAGGGCAGUGCACAUAGCUUACACUGCAAUGAAGCUGCAUGAAGAUGAGAAGCAUAUGAUGGGGAUCUGAGCUGAGGCCCUGGUUGCUGAGACUGGAGGAAGAGAAGGAAAAGCUUUGGAGGAGCUGGGAUGCCUCAGCCUGGACACCCCACCCCCACCCCCAUCACAGGAGAACCCACGUUGAGGGGCCCUGAGAGUCAGCCAGAUCCUAGCAUCUUCCCCCUCACGAGCCCAUCAGAUUUUGGAGUUGGAAGGGGCCUUGAGAGGCUGCGUCAGCAUCCCUGCAGGAAACAGAUCCUAACUCAAAUGGGUCACCUGAAGAGACUUUAGUGAGGAGGGACUACUUACAGAGAGAUGGGCAGGAUGAAAGAACCCAGGAAGGGGUGCUAGAGACUCCUGAGGCUGCAAAGAGCUCCCCUCUCCCUUCCCACCCUCCAAUCUCCUCUACCAGUGGCCAGACCAGACUGGAGCCAACUGGCAAGGGCGCCCAUUGAUUUGUUUCACAGGGGUCAGCCUCCUGGGGCACAGAGCAGGUCAAAGAAGGGGAGACCCUACAUCAGAAGGGACAAACAGAGAAUAACAGCCUGAUCGGUCUCAGUUUCCACCCUACUGUUCUUCCCACAAGAACAGAGAGAGGAGGCAACUUGGCCAAGGUCAGGUAGCAAGUGAGGAAAAGGCCCCUCUCCUUUGGGGUCUGGGUUCGUUGCCGACUGGGCCUGCACUGAAGACAGCCAAGUGAGGACAGCCCAUCAUCCUGGAGCUGCUGCCGCAAAUCCAAAUUAACCAGAGGAAGGCAGCAGGCAGCACCAGGGAGGAUGAGCACCCAAGGGCCGGCCAUGCACCCUCCAUGUCCAGAAGGUAAUAGACACCUGCUUCCUUGUCUCUUUGUGCCUGCCCCCUGGCCCCCGUUUUCCUCUCUUGAGUCCUCCCCAGGUGUGGGGACAGGAGCACAGCCCUGGGAUUGGCAGGGACAAGGGGAGGAGACUGUGCUUUUCUGGUAGCCAGCCUUGCUCAUCGAUUCCCUAGAGCUGCUCACUGAUCCAGCACAAGAUGGUUUAAUUGAAGUCAUUACAAUAAAUGGUGCAGAAAAGCAACACCCUUAGUCUGCCAGGAGCCUCAGAGAAGCAGGGGAGGGCACUGGGAAACCCAGCGGAAGCAGCUGAAGUUAGCUCACAGUUGCUGUGGCGGAAAAGGGACUGGGCUGAGAAAGCAGGUAGUCCUGGGUUCAAAUCCUGACUGGGUCGCUAGCAAGCUGUGCACCCUUAGUAAAGUUCCUUUAUCUUCCUGAGCUGCUGUGUUCCUGUCUCCAGGAAGCCUUCCCUCCUUCGUCUCCCAUUUCUCCUUCCCCCACACACCGUUAGCACUUGCUAACUUUGACACUGAUUUGGCUUCCAGCGCUCACUGUCUGCUUAGCAAUCUUUUCCCUCCGUAGUUUGUCUUCUCAUCUAGAUAACAGGCAGGAACUGUAUCUUCUCUUUGUCACCCGUAUGUGCCUAUCACAUGCCUAACGUUGUAAUUGUACCCAGCAGGGUGGGGGAGGGGAGGGGAGUGGCAAGGUGGAGUGAGGGGCAGAGAUUCAGAACCUGGGGGUGGGCGCAGAAAGAAUGCAACAGGCGCUGGUAGAUGACAAUCUACCCUGAGCUCCCUUCCCAGGUAAUUGGAACGAUGCUGCCAUUAUAUUCGUACACCUUUAGCAUGAGACACAGCCCCCUCUGUGCCCAGGCCCAGCUGGCUCUCUGCUUGGCAUCAUGAACUACUGUCUGAUUCAGUAGCAGAAGACAGAGGAUCCAGGUCACGAAGUCAUCAAAUUCUAGCAUCCAAAGACAAAAUCGUGCAGCACAAGUGAUAUCUUGGUACUUCCAAGUCUAAAUCCUAAGGAGCCUUGCAGCUUCCCCGUGGGGUGUCUUGGAACACCUGAUCUCAGAAUGUUCCCUCUCAGAACUCAGACAUCACACCAUGAGAAGCCCAAACCACGUGGAGAAGCCAGGUCGAGGUAUUCCAUUUGCCAGGGCCAACCGAGUUCCCAGCUCAUAGCAUCAGCUGUGAGCCCUGAGAGUGUGCCAUCUUGGACAUCCAGCCCCGUGGAGCCUGCAGGUGACUCCAGCUCUAGCCACUACCUGAUACAACCACUUGAGAAAUCCCGAGAAAGAAUCUCCCAGAUGAGCCCAGUCAACCCGUGGAACUGGAAGAUGCACGUCAUUGUCAGCAAAGCACCAAGCCAUCUGGCCUUCGUUUUACCUUUGAGUUGAUGUGAAAUUUCCGGCUUCACAUUUGGACAGUCCUUGAUCUGAGCACCAGAGCCCCAGAGGUGAUUGGGAGCAUCACUGUGAGAAGCCACCAUUUUUUGGACACCAACUACGAUCCACAGUGUCCCAAGGGCUUUAUUUAUUUUAAUCUUGUGUUUAAUCUUCCAGUUUAAUCUUGUGUUUAAUCUCGUGUUUAAUCUUCCAGUAACCCUAUGAGGGCAGGACUAAUACCUCAUUUUAAGGAUCAGAAAAUUUAGUCUCAAAAAGAAAUGCAUGCCAAAUUGCAGAGCUGGAAUUCAAACCUAGGCCUGCCCAAUUCCUAGGAUCUGCUCUUUCCUGUAUACCGAUUCGAUCAGUUAUAUAUUGCUACAAUAACAUCGUGAAACAAAUAAUCAUGAAACCUCAGCGGUAUACGAUAAUAAGCACGUAUUGCUUACCCAUCUGGGAUGGUUAGCUAAGUGGUUCUGCUGAUUAUGGCAAGGCUCACUAACAUGCCUACACUUUGGUUGGCCUUUGAGUGAUGGAGGCUGUCUCAGCGGGGACAGUUGGGGCCACUCAGCUCCACUCCACAUGUCGCUCAUUCUCCAUUAGGCCAGCCCAGGCAUGUCCCCAUGGCAGUGGCAGAGUACAAGAAAGAAAGCAAACCAGACUGAUGGCACAACUACUUUUCAAGCUUUUUCUUACAUCACAUUUGCCUUUAUCCCAUGGGCCUGAGCAAGGUACAUUGCCAAGCCCAGAGUCAGAGAAGAUGAACAUUGCAGAUGACGUGGCAAAAGGUGGGGUGCAGGGAAAGGUAAAGAUUUGUGACCACUUCUGCAAUCUAUCCACUAACCUUGGGCAAGUUAGAGCCCCCUCUUAGAGCCUCUGUUCCUGCAUUUUUUAAAAAUGUUUAUUUAUUUAUUUUGAGAGAGACAGAGAGCAGGGGAGGGGCAGAGAGAGAGGGAGACAGAGAAUCCCAAGCAGGCUCCUCACUUGUCAGCACAGAGCCCGACACAGGGCUCGAACUUGAGAACUGUGGGAUCAUGAGCUGUGCCAAAAUCAAGAGUCGGACACUUAGCCAACUGAGCCACCCACACACCCCAAUAUUUUAUUUUUAAGUAAUCUCUACACCUAACAUGGGGCUUGAGCUCACAACCCCGAAAUCGAGUCAGACGCUCAACUGAUUGAGCCACCCAGGCACCCCUGUUCCUGCAGUUUUUUAAUGGGGUUAUAUCCACUUGGUGGGAUGGCUCAGAGCAUUCAGUAAGAUAAUUUCUAUGAAAUACUAACAAAGUCAAAAGUAUUCUUUCUCCUGAUGUAUAUCAUGUAUACCAGCCUGGGGGUGCAUGUACACAUUAUGAGAGGUACGUGAAAAACUCGGUUUCUAUUUCCAGGAUCCAAAGGGUUUACACAAGUCUCAGAGGUGAGACAGCCCAAUCACUGAGACAACAAACAAGAAUUGUGAAGAAGGGAAUAAAUCAAGGGAAAAAAAGAAAACAAUAAGUAAAUGAUGUAAUUAAAGUUACUGUUGAAGAAACUAUCAAGGAGAGAAUGAGUCAGCGACAAGUUUAAGCGAUGAAUCAGGCACAAUGUCAUGUUUCUAGAAUUCUUGCCUAUUUCAAGAAAGCCUGAUGUCCCAGUUAAAAGAGCACCUUGAGCCUGUAGCAACAACAUCUGGAAGGAAACACGCUUGUAAUUUCAAUUUCUCCUCUGCAUCACCACUAACAACAGGGGCAAUGCCGAGUGCUGGGCACAGAGUAGGCGCUCCAUAAAAUCCCAUGUGGGAGGGACCCAUAACUGCAUCAUCUCUUCAGAUGUAUUCAAGGAGAUUUCAAAUUACUUCUGCAAAAGAGCUCCCCAUACAAUAUGCCAUUUGCUUGCUAAAACGAGGCUGUGGAUCCCGUGUGGGAUGGUAUUAAUUGGUCUGUUCGACAAAUGAGGAGACCAAGGCUUGUGUGGCCCUCUAGUUGGUGACGAGGCUGGGAUUUGAAUGCAGCCCUCCAACGUGCUCUCUCCCAAACUAACCAAGAACCAUACUCCUGCUAUUGGUAACCGAGUUCAGGGUUUUUUUAACCUGUAAGAAACGACAUCGACAUUUCAUUGAAUGCUCAUAAGCAUGGCGGCUCGUGUCAUCUUCACCACAGACUUCGAGGUUGGAAUAUGAAGGAUUCCAUUUUACAGAUAAGGGAAAUUUGGAGCCCAGAGGCUGAACCCACCUGCCAGAGGCUUCAUAGCCCAUAAAUGGUGAGAUGAUUCACCCUCAGGUAUGUGCAACACCCCGACCCCCCCGCCCCCCACACACACACCAUGUUUUAUAUGUUCCACACUGCCCUUAUAUUUUUUCAAAUUGGGCUGUCACCUGCAUUGAAGCCUGGAGAAUUAAAAGCAAUUGUAUGCAUAAACCUGUACACACACACACACACACACACACACACUUUUGCCUCAGUUAUUCAGAGAGCACGUUUUCUGAUCUGUAUUUUCCACUUCAGUUUUCUGAUCUGUAUUUUCCACUUCAGUUUGCCUACCUGGCCUCUGCCUCUACAAACACAACUCAAGGCAGAGGGGCAAGUGAUAUUGGUUCAGGAAACCUGAGCUGUGACCCUGAGCUGCUGACAGAACGUCUGAUAUUUAUAGCAACUCAGAGUCAAGUACCAAGGAAAGAGUGUUCUGGAUUGUUGCAGAUGUCCUCAGGGGGAAAGAAAACAUCUCUGUAAAAAAUUGUGUGGGAUGCUUAACUGAUGGAACAUCCAACAUGAAAGGACAACUCAGUGGGUUUGCAUCCCAGUUAAAAAAUAAUAAAAGGACGGCCCAGCCAGUCUCUGUGGAUAACAUUCUUCUAACACUUAGGAUGUAGCCAUGGGAGAGACCACAUCACCAGUUGAAUUUAUAAACUGCCACUCUACACUUUAAUUUAUUUAUGCAUUUAUAUAUUGAUUUAGAUCUGCCCCAGUCCACAAAGAAUUUGACAUUGAUUGUUUAAUUGUGAAAACUAUGGUAGAUUGAUUAUGUUAAUGGCCAAGAUUUUCUACGCCUCCCUGUAUCCUUACCCCUGGGUAGUGUCCUCCACAUCGACUCUGGCCCUAAGAUGUGCUUUGGCUAAUGAAACAGCAGCAAACUUGUUGCAAGCACAACUUGAAAAUCAUGCUGCUCCUGGCCCAGAUUAGCAGAAUGGCCCACAGACCCACAAGAAAGAACAGACUGUUGUUUAAAGCCAUUGGGUUUGGAGCAAUUUGUUACACAGCAGUCACUAACUGAUAUGGAGACUAAAAAGAAACACCAUUAAUUAAUCAACAAGCUUAUAUUGAGUAGCCAUGCUCAGUUCUUGUCGUAGGUUCUGGGAUAUACAAAAAAAAAAACACAUAAGACAUGGUUCCUACCUGCUUGGAGACUCAUAUUUAUUUCUGGAAAGACAAAAUAAAAAUACCAGCAAGAUCUGCUUAAACCAUGUGGAAAUCGCUUAUAUUUUAUUCUCUCUACAGGGCCAAGCUCAAAUGCCACCUUCCUUUCGUAACAUUUCCUUCCCCAUCUCCUUGCCAAGCUGAACUAUUAAGCUCUGCUUCCGCUGGGAUACUGCAGACUUUUGGUUAAAGCUCUCUCGUGAUGCUUUUCAUGUUACAUUUGGGGUUAUACUUGGAUGGGAAUACGUCCAUUGUGCCCACUGAUUAUAAAGCUGGGUCUUGCUUAUUGUUCUAUGGGCCUCCAACACCAGGUACCAUGACUUACAUGAAUAUAAGGAAUCUUGGAAAAUGUUAAAUGAAUGAAUGUUACAGGUUGGGGGCGCCUGGGUGGCUCAGUCGGUUAAGUGUCUGCUCUUGAUUUCAGCUCAGAUCAUGAUCUCGUAGUUUGUGGGAUGGAACCCGGAGUCGGGCUCUGUGCUGACAUUGCAGAGCCUGUUUGGGGUUCUCUCUCUCACUCUCUCUCUCUCUCCUUCUGCUCCUCCCUGCUCUCUGUCUCUUUCAAAAUAAAUAAACUCUAAAAAAAUGAA